GUGCCUGUAAUUCGUGUCGCUAUCCCACUAUUUUAUUGUGCUAAGAUACUGAUAUUGUUAUCGGUGCGCACCCUCCGAAGGCAAAGGUCGGACGUUCGAAUCGUCUCGGGCGCGCCA
rnacentral:tRNA from 1 species